CACGUAGGGCGCGAGCGUUGUCCGGAAUUAUUGGGCGUAAAGAGCUCAUAGGCGGCCUGGUGCGUCCGCUGUGAAAGCCCGGGGCUUAACCCCGGGUCGGCAGUGGAUACGGGCAGGCUAGAGGUAGGUAGGGGAGACUGGAAUUCCUGGUAUAGCGGUGAAAUGCGCAGAUAUCAGGAGGAACACCGGUGGCGAAGGCGGGUCUCUGGGCCGAUACUGACGCUGAGGAGCGAAAGCGUGGGGAGCGAACAGG
rnacentral:rRNA from 1 species